GACGAACCGAGCGAACGUUGUUCGGAAUCACUGGGCUUAAAGGGCGCGUAGGCGGGUGCUCAAGUCCGGGGUGAAAUCCCACAGCUCAACUGUGGAAUUGCCUCGGAUACUGGGUGUCUCGAGGGUGGUAGGGGUAUGCGGAACUAUCGGUGGAGCGGUGAAAUGCGUUGAUAUCGAUAGGAACUCCGGUGGCGAAGGCGGCAUACUGGACCACUUCUGACGCUGAGGCGCGAAAGCGUGGGUAGCAAACAGG
rnacentral:rRNA from 1 species